AGUGAACGCUGGCGGUAGGCCUAACACAUGCAAGUCGAACGGCAGCACAGUAAGAGCUUGCUCUUACGGGUGGCGAGUGGCGGACGGGUGAGGAAUACAUCGGAAUCUACUUUUUCGUGGGGGAUAACGUAGGGAAACUUACGCUAAUACCGCAUACGACCUACGGGUGAAAGCAGGGGAUCUUCGGACCUUGCGCGAUUGAAUGAGCCGAUGUCGGAUUAGCUAGUUGGCGGGGUAAAGGCCCACCAAGGCGACGAUCCGUAGCUGGUCUGAGAGGAUGAUCGGCCACACUGGAACUGAGACACGGUCCAGACUCCUACGGGAGGCAGCAGUGGGGAAUAUUGGACAAUGGGCGCAAGCCUGAUACAGCCAUACCGCGUGGGUGAAGAAGGCCUUCGGGUUGUAAAGCCCUUUUGUUGGGAAAGAAAAGCAGCAGGUUAAUACCCCGCUGUUCUGACGGUACCCAAAGAAUAAGCACCGGCUAACUUCGUG
rnacentral:rRNA from 1 species